GGCCUUGUGACGGAGUAUAUAAAGGCGAAGGAUAUACGACGUCAUGUAGCUACACAUGUUCUGACGUGACUGAAGAAGAACGUGUGAUGAACUAUGAAGAAGAUACACCUUGCAUUCGCUCGAGUGAAGAGGUGGAGAGUAUCAAACUGGCCGGCCUAUGCAAGAAGGGCGUCUGCGUGGAACCGUCCGA